UCUGUGGCAUGGUGUCAUCUCCAUGUCUUCUCACUGCAAGACCUAGAGCUGGGCUUAGUCCCCGGCCCCACCGUUGGUUCGUCGCCCCGGCAGGUGUGACGGGGGAGGUUGGGCACUGUGUUUGGUUGCUCCGGCCUUCUUCCAACUCUUUGGUCCUCCUACCAGCCUCCAAUCCUUACCACUCUCGGUAUUUACGGUUGUGUAUAUUCGGGGAAGAUUCCUACAAGUGAGACUGCUAGAUUAAAACCACUGUCCUGUCUGCACUGAGUGACCUGGACCACUGGGCCAACACUGGCAGAGGAAAUCAUCAUCACUG